rnacentral:rRNA from 1 species
GUGUCAGCCGCCGCGGUAAUACAGAGGGUGCAAGCGUUAAUCGGAUUUACUGGGCGUAAAGCGUGUGUAGGUGGCUCGCUAAGUCGGUUGUGAAAUCCCUGGGCUCAACCUGGGAAUUGCAGUCGAUACUGGCAAGCUCGAGUUCGGUAGAGGGCGGCGGAAUUCCCGGUGUAGCGGUGAAAUGCGUAGAUAUCGGGAGGAACAUCGAUGGCGAAAGCAACCGCCUGGGCCUGAACUGACACUGUGACACGAAAGCGUGGGGAGCAAACAGGAUUAGAAACCCCUGUAGUCC